rnacentral:piRNA from 2 species
GCCAUGCGGGAGGAGAAUGGUCUGAA